UCUCCGUUGGUGAACCAGCGGAGGGAUCAUUACCGAGUUUACAACUCCCAAACCUACUGAGAACAUACCAUUGUUGCUUCGGCGGUGUCGCCCCGGUGCCUAUGCUGCCCCGGAGCCAGGCGCCCGCCGGAGGCCCCGAACUCUUGUUUUUACGUGUGGAUCUUCUGAGUGGUUGGCAAAUCGAAUCAAAACUUUCAACAACGGAUCUCUUGGUUCUG
rnacentral:misc_RNA from 1 species